rnacentral:pre_miRNA from 1 species
CUAAUAUUCGGACUGUCGGUCUACUGAGCAAUUAUAUCCACUCGGUAGAAGAUCUUCCCUUUGUCGU